GCUGAGAAGAGUUUAGAAAUUCUACACAACUACUCCAGCCAAUCUCUUACAAAAGCAACCAGUGAAGAGAUUCAUUAUUUUUGCCAAGAGAUUGCCAGCCGAGACCUGACGAUAUCAAGUGCGUUUAACCUCUUUGUUUUGAAGGCCGAACUUAUCACUGCGGCUGUGGCAGCAUGUACAACCUACAUCGUCAUUCUGGUACAGCUUCAUACCACUUAAACUAAGCCAAAGGAAUAGUUGCAGUGGCAUAGUUUGAAGAAGAUGAAGGGGGUUAAAACACUCCCUCAAAAGGCCUCAGUUUCAACUUGUUCGAAAUACAGCAGUUAAAUGAUUUACUUUCAA